rnacentral:lncRNA from 1 species
UGGGGCAGGCGGGCGUCGGAGGGGCAGUUUUGAAGCCCGAGCGAAGAGGCAGAGGGCGGGAUGCGGACGAAGCCAGGGAGUUCACGAAACUUCUGGAGUUCUCAGUUUCCCCCUAAGUCGACUGGGGCUAGGUCCCGUGCCGCCAGGCGGGCUGGCUGAGGGGAUGGGCUGGGGCGACAAGACGGCAGCCGCCUGGCCCGGGUACUUGGGGUCAGACCGGCUUCGAGGCCCCCGGACCGCCGUGUUAUCAGGACGGGUAGGGAGCCCACGGGACGCGUGGUGCUCAGAAGAGCGGGGAGGCGUGUGGACGGGGCCUGCCCGAGCUGCACCACCGCCUGCCUCCAGGCUGCGAGGCCCGCCCAGGCGAAGGCGGCAUCUCAGCCUCUAGCCCUUGGGGACCUUGAGGACGUCCUCUUAUGGGUCAGCCGUUCCUAGGGAGGCUUGUGGCUCCAGUUACUGGAAAAACCAGUGCUGGUUCACGCAGGAGGCCCCAGUACAGGGGGAAACAGAGGCAAGCUGGGGUCUCCCAGGCGGCCUCACCCACCCAGCCCUGUUCCAUGCCAGUCCCUGGACCCUUGGCCCAGUCAGAUGUUCAACUGCUCCAGCCCUGCCUCCACUUCCCUGAAAGAUGCUUUUCCACCCAUCCACCCUCAGCAGCCAGAGGGACCCCGGGAAGAUGGGAGUGAGAGCUGCCUUCGUCUGCAAAAGUCUCCAGACACCACCUCACUGGUGAAGGCCAGAGACCCUAAACUGUCCCAAGACCACCUGACUGGGCUGCCUCCCUGCCACCUGGCUGCCAGCCUCUCUCAGAGCGCCUGCAAGCUAUUCCUCCAACCCAGAGUUUCCUUCCCAGCUAAAGGCCUUUGCACCUGCUGUUCCUUCUGCCUGGAAGUUCACCGCAGACUAUCCCAGGGCCUCCAUCCUUCCCAUUGCAUGGUCCCCAUCAGCUGCCGCCGCCUCUGAGAGCUCAGUCUCCACUGGCCAUCCUGUCUCUCAGCCCACUGCACUCUCCACUCUGCCAGAAAGUCCCCCAAUCAGUGACAACACAGGUCACGGUCCACACCUCACCUGGUUUGUCCCCAGUGCCCAGCAUCUGGCACCGAGCAGGAAGCAGAAGCUAAGCGAAAGCAGAAUCAAGAUUCAAACCCAGGCACGGUGAAACCAGAGCUGUCCAACUGCUAGGAGAAAACGGGGCCUCAGAGAUGAUGGCUGAGCCGUGAAAAGGUGGGGUCAGAAGCCAGGCCCAGUCUCCUGAAUUCCAGACUCCAGAAUCUCCCCCAGGAUUGAGGAAUGUUCCACAGAAAGAAUCCCAGCUCCACCUACCCCAGUCACUGGACCUGCCCAGCCCUGGAGGCAUGGCCAGGAGGAGGCCCCCGCAGUGGCAGUGGCCCAUUCUGAGCGAGCUUGGACCCUCCUCCUCAGUGCCUGCCUUCCGUGUGUACCAAGCCCUGAAGGGCAGAGGAGGGCCAGCCCUCCGCAGUGUGGCAGGGCUCUGGCGGAUACACCUGCCUCCCAUCUGCAGAAGGACCUUCCUCAGGUGUCCGGCACACUUCUCAGGAGGUCCUGAAACCAGCUGAGACCUCCAUAACACACCUGUGUUGGCUCCCUCACCUGGUCAUCACAAAUAAACCACCUGCACCAAUGUCCCUAUCUCAGGCUCUGCUAUCGAGGGAACCAGCGUAAGCAGCCACGCCCCUGAUGCGAAGAGGAAGCAGGGCUUGAGGGAGGCCAGGACUCGGGGGAUUGGCGUGCAGGAGCUGGGAAAGUCAUUUUCAUUUCCCUCCUUCC